rnacentral:rRNA from 1 species
UACGGAGGGUGCGAGCGUUGUUCGGAAUCACUGGGCGUAAAGGGCGUGUAGGCGGUCCGCUAAGUCGGACGUGAAAUCCCGGGGCUUAACCCCGGAACUGCGUUCGAUACUGCUUUGCUUGAGGACUGGAGAGGAGACUGGAAUUCCUGGUGUAGCAGUGAAAUGCGUAGAUAUCAGGAGGAACGCCAAUGGCGAAGGCAAGUCUCUGGACAGUUCCUGACGCUCAUGCACGAAGGCCAGGGGAGCAAACGGG